GGGGGGGGGGGGGGGGGGGGGGGGGGGGUGGGGGGGGAGGGGAGGGGCGGUGGGGGGGGGGGGGGGGCGAGUGGCGGGGGGGUGAGUAGGCAGUGCGUGACCUGCGCUUGGCCUUGGGGCAGCGUCGGGCUACUGUGGCUAGUUCCGGAUCGGAGAUCCUGAUGCCGGGUGGGGGAUGGACGCUUUCGGCGUUUGACGAUGGAGUCGCGGCUUGUCAUCUUGUUGGUGAGUGAGUGGCGUACCAAGGCGUUGACUGGUAGCCGGCCUGAGAGGGUGACCCGCCACAUUGGGACUGAGAUACGGCCCAUACGCCAACGGAAGGCAGAAGUGGGGAAUAUUGCACAAUGGGCGGAAGCCUGAUGCAGCAACGCCGCGUGAGGGAUGACGGCCUUCGGGUUGUAAACCGCUUUCGCCUGUGACGAAGCGUGAGUGACGGUAAUGGGUAAAGAAGCACCGGCUAACUACGUG
rnacentral:rRNA from 1 species